rnacentral:rRNA from 1 species
GUCCUAGCCGUAAACGAUGGGCACUUGGUGUCGGGGGUAUUGAGUCCCCCGGUGCCGGAGUUAACACGUUAAGUGCCCCGCCUGGGGAGUACGGUCGCAAGACUGAAACUCAAAGGAAUUGACGGGGGCCCGCACAAGCGGUGGAGCAUGUGGUUCAAUUCGACGCAACGCGAAGAACCUUACCGGGGCUCGAACGGUAACUGCUACCCUUGGAAACAGGGGGUUAUCUUCGGAGACGGUUAUCGAGGUGCUGCAUGGCUGUCGU